UACGGAGGAUGCAAGCGUUAUCCGGAUUCAUUGGGUUUAAAGGGUGCGUAGGCGGAAUAAUAAGUCAGUGGUGAAAUCCUGCAGCUUAACUGUAGAAUUGCCGUUGAUACUGUUGUUCUUGAGUACACAUGGGGUGAGUGGAAUGUGACAUGUAGCGGUGAAAUGCUUAGAUAUGUCACAGAACACCAAUCGCGAAGGCAGCUCACCAAAGUGUAACUGACGCUGAUGCACGAAAGCGUGGGGAUCAAAC
rnacentral:rRNA from 1 species